UUCAAGUAUUAACCAGGGCUGGCCCUAUUUAGCUUUCAAAUUUAGACAGGAGGAUACACAAACAAUUCUGUGUAUUUUAACUAAAGAAAUUUUCAAAGAUAACAGAAAGUAUAGUCCAUGAGCACUUGAGCAACCUGCUUCUGUGGCAUUUGUCCACUCCUGCACUACAGUAAAAAGCUUGCUUUGUUAACCUUCUGGGAGAAAGGCAUUAUAUAUAAGGUGUUCAAGCAUCUUACCCUUCUUGUACAGAAUGGCCAUAAGGUCAAAAUAACAGUAUCAAUAUAAUGAAACCACUUGGAUACAAUGCAACAUGAACUUUCACAGACAGGCAGAUCCAAAGUUUUCCUGAAGCCGGACAAGUGGGAACCCUAUUUCUUGCUUCUGCGUCCAUCAAAAUAGUUUGUGGUCCGUUAGUGUAGUCUGUGGGCAGGUUUAUCAAUUCUAACCUUAUGUACCACUCCUGUAAUCUACACAACACAUUUGUUCCUUGCAACAUCCAACAGGAAGCCAAGCAAAUGCUUGGGAAUACAAAACACACAAAGGAACAGCUCAAAAAGGCAUACACUUAAGACAAUCAAGGUGGAUUAUAAAUCAUUCAUGACCUGGGAAAGAACACAAGCCAAAGAGUAAAUGUUACCAUGGUCAACAAUCUCUUGUAACCUGGGUUAGAUGGGUCAUCUAGAUAUUUUUGUAACUGACCCCUUCAAGAUCCAAUUUAAAGUGAUGGUGGUUCUAUUGUAUCUUCCUGAAAAGAGCAUUCUUUCCAUCCAGGAUCAAAAGCAGCAGUAAAGCAAAUGCAAGAAAACUUCACAUCAAAUGGGGCGAAACAACGAAUCAACCAAAUCCAUUGCCCUUUACCACUGCAUAAGAAGGAAAUUUCCUUGCAAGGACGACUACAGCACGAACAGUGAUCUGCUCUGGAUAGCUGUAUAGGAGCUUGAACAAAGAAUGGCAGUCAGCUCUAUCCCAAUUGAGGAGAGAACAGAUUCCAUUUGCUUGCAGAACCUGAUACAUGGUCUGGACAUUGGAAUAGAAACUACAUUCUAUAUCUAUGUACUCUUCUAGAGACAAAGGACAGUCCAUUUGCAUCCAGUGAACGACACAGGAAUCCCAGUGAGGUCAGAAAAUACCCCAGGAAUCACUCGAUGCAACAAAGUAGAAGCCACUUCAUUUCUGAAUUAGCUCCAGUCCUAUCACUUCUGUAUUAAGCUAUAGGGGAAGAAUGGGCUGGAGUGACAUCUCUGGCCCAUCCCCUGUUUAGAUAUCAGCCAGUAUGCCAACGCCUUAAAUGAAGAAAUUGUUUUCUAAGAUCUACAGGGAUAUUCGCAGGAACGCCUCAGCAAGCGAGUCCAAAAAUGGCAGACUAAAACCUGGAACCUCAAGCCAUGGCUGAUACCAAAUGAGAGGCAGAAGACUGGGCAACUUGGAAGGCGCUGAAUAGACUGUGCUUUGGCACCACCAGAUACAGAGCCAAUCUUCAGAAAUGGGGCCACAAAGUGGAGUCCACUACAUGCGAGUGUGGAGAAGAGCAAACCAAAGACCAUUUACUACAAUGCGGACCUCCUUAUAGCAACACCAGAGGCACUCCAAAUGCCCAGCUACUGGUCAAAGGACAUUUAGUAUAAUGCCAAGUUUUAAAUUUCGUUUGUUUUUAAAUACAUUAUAACUGUACCCUGGGUUCACGUCUGAUACAAUAAAUAAAUUUUUGUUCUUUCUUUGGUUU